rnacentral:rRNA from 1 species
UACGAAGGGGGCUAGCGUUGCUCGGAAUCACUGGGCGUAAAGAGCGCGCAGGCGGUCGAUCAAGUCGCGUGUGAAAGCCCCCGGCUCAACUGGGGAGGGUCACGCGAUACUGAUCGACUCGAAGGCAGGAGAGGGUAGUGGAAUUCCCGGUGUAGUGGUGAAAUGCGUAGAUAUCGGGAGGAACACCAACGGCGAAGGCAGCUCGCUAGGACGGUACUGACGCUGAGGCGCGAAAGCGUGGGGAGCGAACAGG